CCUACGGGAGGCUGCAGUGGGGAAUUUUGCGCAAUGCUCGUAAGAGUGACGCAGCCAUGCCGCGUGAAUGACGAAGGCCUUCGGGUUGUAAAGUUCUUUCGACAGGGAAGAAAAUGCCUUUAAGUAUCUGCGUAUGUAUUGACGGUACCUGUAUAAGUAGCCUAGGCUCACUCCGUCCCAGCAGCCGAGGUAAUACGGAGGGUGCGAGCGUUGUUCGGAGUGACUGGGCGUAAAGAGCACGUAGGCGGUGUUGUAAGUCAUUAGUCAAAGACUAGAGCUCAACCUUAGUAAGGCUGGUGAUACUGGAAGACUAGAGUAUCAGAGAGGAUGGCAGAAUUCGUGGUGUAGCGGUGAAAUGCGUAGAUAUCAGGAGGAAUACCGAUAGCGAAGGCAGCAAUCUGGCUGGAAACUGACGCUGAGGUGCGAAAGCGUGGGUAGCAAACAGGAUUAGAUACCCCAGUAGUC
rnacentral:rRNA from 1 species